CCCCAAUUGGGGUCUGGUCAAGUCAACGUCGAUCAAGGACUUACGACAGAGACGGGAGCCAAACCAAAGCUGUCAUAUCAAUGAAGACAGAGCCAAGGCCAGGGGCGCUGUCAAAGGAGGGUGGUGGGGCAGGACCAGGUUGCAGGCGUAGAUGUCAGUGCUCAGGUGAUCGGAGGUGCUGGACUGGACGUGGAUUUCACGCUGGAGAGCCCUCAGGGCGUGCUGCUGGUCAGCGAGUCCCGCAAGGCAGAUGGGUUGCACACGGUGGAGCCCACGGAGGCCGGGGACUACAAGCUGUGCUUUGACAACUCCUUCAGCACAAUCUCAGAGAAGCUG